GACGAACCGUGCGAACGUUGUUCGGAAUCACUGGGCAUAAAGGGCGCGUAGGCGGCUCUCAAAGUCAGGGGUGAAAUCCGGCAGCUUAACUGUCGAAGUGCCUUUGAUACUGGGGAGCUCGAGGGAGGUAGGGGUGUGUGGAACUUCCGGUGGAGCGGUGAAAUGCGUUGAUAUCGGAAGGAACGCCGGUGGCGAAAGCGACACGCUGGACCUCGUCUGACGCUGAGGCGCGAAAGCUAGGGGAGCAAACGGG
rnacentral:rRNA from 1 species